GAGUGGCGAACGGGUGAGUAACACGUGAGUAACCUGCCCCCUUCUUUGGGAUAACGCCCGGAAACGGGUGCUAAUACUGGAUAUUCACUGGCCUUCGCAUGGGGGUUGGUGGAAAGGUUUUUCUGGUGGGGGAUGGGCUCGCGGCCUAUCAGCUUGUUGGUGGGGUGAUGGCCUACCAAGGCUUUGACGGGUAGCCGGCCUGAGAGGGUGACCGGUCACAUUGGGACUGAGAUACGGCCCAG
rnacentral:rRNA from 1 species